UACGUAGGUGGCAAGCGUUGUCCGGAUUUACUGGGCGUAAAGAGUAUGUAGGCGGACAUUUAAGUCAGAUGUGAAAUUCCCGGGCUUAACCUGGGAGCUGCAUUUGAUACUGGGUGUCUAGAGUGCGGGAGAGGAAAGUGGAAUUCCUAGUGUAGCGGUGAAAUGCGUAGAGAUUAGGAAGAACACCAGUGGCGAAGGCGACUUUCUGGACCGUAACUGACGCUGAGAUACGAAAGCGUGGGGAGCAAACAGGAUUAGAUACC
rnacentral:rRNA from 1 species